UACGGGGGGGGCAAGCGUUGUUCGGAAUUACUGGGCGUAAAGGGCUUGUAGGUGGCCAACUAAGUCAGACGUGAAAUCCCUCGGCUUAACCGGGGAACUGCGUCUGAUACUGGAUGGCUUGAGUGUGGGAGAGGGAUGCGGAAUUCCAGGUGUAGCGGUGAAAUGCGUAGAUAUCUGGAGGAACACCGGUGGCGAAGGCGGCAUCCUGGACCAUUACUGACACUGAAAAGCGAAGACCGCAGGGGAGCAAACGGG
rnacentral:rRNA from 1 species